rnacentral:piRNA from 1 species
GCUCAGUUGGUAGAGCGGAGGACUGUAGUG